UACGGAGGAUCCAAGCGUUAUCCGGAAUCAUUGGGUUUAAAGGGUCCGUAGGCGGUUUUGUAAGUCAGUGGUGAAAGCCCAACGCUCAACGGUGGAACGGCCAUUGAUACUGCAAGACUUGAAUUAUUAGGAAGUAACUAGAAUAUGUAGUGUAGCGGUGAAAUGCUUAGAGAUUACAUGGAAUACCAAUUGCGAAGGCAGGUUACUACUAGUGGAUUGACGCUGAUGGACGAAAGCGUGGGGAGCGAACAGG
rnacentral:rRNA from 1 species